AGCGUAGUCUCGUGGGCUCGGAGAUGUGUAUAAGAGACAGGUGUAGAUAUCGGGAAGAACACCAAUGGCGAAGGCAGGUCUCUGGGCCGUCACUGACGCUGAGGAGCGAAAGCGUGGGGAGCGAACAGGAUUAGAUACCCUGGUAGUCCACGCCGUAAACGGUGGAUGCUGGAUGUGGGGCCCGUUCCACGGGUUCCGUGUCGGAGCUAACGCGUUAAGCAUCCCGCCUGGGGAGUACGGCCGCAAGGCUAAAACUCAAAGAAAUUGACGGGGGCCCGCACAAGCGGCGGAGCAUGCGGAUUAAUUCGAUGCAACGCGAAGAACCUUACCUGGGCUUGACAUGUUCCCGACGGCCGUAGAGAUAUGGCCUCCCUUCGGGGCGGGUUCACAGGUGGUGCAUGGUCGUCGUCAGCUCGUGUCGUGAGAUGUUGGGUUAAGUCCCGCAACGAGCGCAACCCUCGCCCUGUGUUGCCAGCACGUCAUGGUGGGAACUCACGGGGGACCGCCGGGGUCAACUCGGAGGAAGGUGGGGAUGACGUCAGAUCAUCAUGCCCCUUACGUCCAGGGCUUCACGCAUGCUACAAUGGCCGGUACAGCGGGAUGCGACAUGGCGACAUGGAGCGGAUCCCUGAAAACCGGUCUCAGUUCGGAUUGGAGUCUGCAACCCGACUCCAUGAAGGCGGAGUCGCUAGUAAUCGCGGAUCAGCAACGCCGCGGUGAAUGCGUUCCCGGGCCUUGUACACACCGCCCGUCAAGUCAUGAAAGUGGGCAGCACCCGAAGCCGGUGGCCUAACCCCUUGUGGGAUGGAGCCGUCUAAGGUGAGGCUCGUGAUUGGGACUAAGUCGUAACAAGGUAGCCGUACCGGAAGGUGCGGCUG
rnacentral:rRNA from 1 species